UUCUGCCUUCAACAGCGUGGUGGUUA
rnacentral:piRNA from 1 species